GAUGAACGCUGGCGGCGUGCCUAACACAUGCAAGUCGAGCGUGAAUAAGUAGAGUGGAGACUUCGGUCAAAGCGAAGCUUAUGAAAGCGGCGGACGGGUGAGUAACGCGUGGGUAACCUGCCCCAUACAAAGGGAUAGCCACUGGAAACGGUGAUUAAUACCUUAUGAGUCGGUAGUCUCGCAUGAGAUAGCCGACAAAGAUUUAUCGGUAUGGGAUGGACCCGCGUCUGAUUAGCUAGUUGGUGAGGUAACGGCUCACCAAGGCGACGAUCAGUAGCCGACCUGAGAGGGUGAUCGGCCACACUGGAACUGAGACACGGUCCAGACUCCUACGGGAGGCAGCAGUGGGGAAUAUUGCACAAUGGGCGCAAGCCUGAUGCAGCAACGCCGCGUGAGUGAAGAAGGCCUUC
rnacentral:rRNA from 1 species